UCACUUCCCAAAUCCCGCGUCUCUCCCUUCCUCUCUCUCUCUCUCUCUCUCUCUCUCUGGAUUCCUCUUCCAAUCAAAUCGUCCCAAUCUCUCUCUCUCUCUAGAAAUUUCCUGCCCCCUCACACUGCGUCCACCUCACUCACUCUCUUUCUCUUCCGGAAAUGGCGUUUGCACGAGAGUAGUGGAGCAUGAGCUGCCACCUCCGCUCAAUGCGCAAUCCUCACACCGGUCCAUCAGCUGAAUCCCUUCCGACAUCCAGAGGGUGAAUUUCGGAGUACUGUUGUUUUCGCUCUCCGUGCUUGCGGUUCUUGGUGUUGUUGCUUCCCGAGAGAUGCCGAGAUAACGCUGAUAUGAGCCAGGCUGAAGGGUCGAGGAUGAAGCUGCCUCUCGUCCCGCUCGCGACCCUCAUCGGCCGCGAGCUCCGGAAGGAGAAGGUUGAUAAGCCCUAUGUGAAGUAUGGACAGGCUGCUUUGGCGAAAAAGGGGGAGGAUUACUUCCUCGUAAAAACUGAUUGCCAGAGGAUCCCUGGGAAUCCGUCGACAUCGUUUUCUGUAUUUUCAAUAUUUGAUGGGCAUAAUGGCAUAUCGGCUGCUAUAUUCACAAAGGAGAAUCUACUUGGAAAUGUUUUAAGUGCGAUUCCUCAAGGUGCUACGAGGGAAGAGUGGCUUCAAGCUCUUCCCCGAGCACUAGUGGCGGGUUUUGUGAAGACCGACAUAGAAUUUCAGCAGAGAGGUGAAACUUCCGGGACAACAGUUACAUUUGUUGUCAUUGAUGGUUGGACUAUAACAGUUGCCUCUGUGGGGGAUUCCCGUUGCAUAUUGGACACACAGGGAGGCGUGGUUUCUCUCUUGACGGUCGACCAUAGGCUGGAAGAGAAUGCAGAAGAAAGGGAACGUGUCACAGCAAGUGGCGGUGAAGUGGGAAGACUCAAUAUCUUUGGUGGAAAUGAGGUUGGUCCCCUUCGCUGCUGGCCCGGUGGGCUAUGCCUUUCAAGGUCAAUAGGUGACACAGAUGUGGGGGAGUUUAUUGUCCCAAUACCACAUGUUAAACAAGUGAAGCUUUCAAAUGCGGGGGGAAGGCUUAUAAUAGCAUCUGAUGGUAUUUGGGAUGCUUUGUCUUCUGAUAUGGCUGCAAAAGCUUGUCAGGGUGUGCCUGCGGAGCUCGCUGCAAAAUUGGUGGUCAAGGAGGCUCUUCGAUCGAGAGGCUUGAAGGAUGAUACGACCUGCCUGGUUGUUGACCUUAUCCCUUCUGAUCUUCCUGUAUUACCUCCGAUAACACCCAGAAAGAAACCAAAUUUGCUUGGUUCACUCUUCUUUGUAAAGAAGUCCCAGAAUUCCUCAAGCAAAGCUACAAAGAAAACUCUUUCUGCUCUUGGGUUAGUGGAAGAGUUGUUCGAAGAGGGCUCUGCUAUGCUCGCUGAGAGGUUGGGAAAAGACUUUCAUUCUGGGAAAGACUCGGGGAUUUUCAAAUGUGCGGUGUGCCAAGCAGAUCAAUCUCCUUCUGAUAACAAACCAGCAAAUUCUGGCCCCACAUUACAAACUCCAUCGAAGCGGUGGGAAGGCCCUUUCCUCUGCACAAAUUGUCAGAGAAAGAAAGACGCCAUGGAGGGAAAGAGACCAAAUACACCUACAGUGGCUGCAUAGAGAAAACCAAUCCUGAAAAUAUAGUGAAGGGAUGAUCGAUGAAGAGAAGAGAGAGGGGAAUGGGGGCGGCCAGAGCUUUGUCGGCGGCUACCCUCCCUCGGCAAGGUCAACUACGACCUCUGAAGUCACCGACAACCUCUCUGGGGAAGGGGUGGCUGCCAGUGAGGUCCCAUCCCCCAACGAGGUCAAGGUUGGAUAUUCAUGGGGAAAAGGGCCUCGUUGGACUGAAAUUCCAUUGUCACCCUUGCCCCGACGAGGCUGGGAUCAUUGACGGCCUCGACGGGGAUGGGGUUGCUGUCGUGAAGGGAAGGUCGACGAAGAGAAGAGUGAGGAGGAUGGGGCGACCAAAGCCUCGUCGGCGGCCACCCUCUGCUGACAAGGUCACUUACGACCUUUGGAGUCACCAGCAACCUCUCGGGGGGAGAGGUGGCUGCCAGUAAGGCCCCAUCCCCCAAUGAGGUCGAGGUUGGGUAUUCUUGGGGGAAGGGGCCUCAUUGGAUUGAAAUUCCGUUGUCACCCCAACCUCGAGACUAGGAUCACUGAUGACCUCGACGGGGAUGGGAUUGCUGCCGAUCAAAUGUCAUCCAAAUCUCCAUCGCCAACACCAACAUCAUCUAAGCACAACAGAGCAGCAGCAGAGAGCUCGAAGCAGACGCCGUGUUCAAAGGACGAUGAUUACAAUCGGUAAUUUCAACCAAAGGAGGAAGGACGACAAUUACAAUCGACAAUUUGAGCGGGGAAUGAAGGCAAUUUCAACAAGAGAAAACAAGAUUUGAGCAAUGGGAGAAGCUAAGGCUGGAUUCUUUUCUUUCUUCUAGAAUUGAGACUUCGACAGAGCUCAGAAGUCAUGAAUCGAUUCUCCAUUCAUUCGUCAAUCAAUAGAAGAGGAAAAAGUAAUCUAGCCGGGCUACUUUAUGAGCCGAACAAUUGGACUGGGCUUGAUCCAAUUUUUAGUUUUGAGCCUAAUGUAGAAUAGGUAAAAUUGCACC